ACGCCGGCGCCAGCCCGCCCUCCGUCGCACGUGACGUCAGCACGUCAUGUAGCCUGGCCACGCCCCCAUCAGUUUCUAUAAAGGCGGGUUCGAAGCGGGCGCAGUUUAGGGGCGACCAUGCUCUCCCCUGUUCGGUAGUUCAGUGUGGUUUGUGCAGGUGUAGUGAGCGAAGCGUGACCUCGCGGAAAAGGCGCGUGAGAUCGGCUUUGGAAAACUACUGCUGAACAGGAAACCAAACAUGCCCAUAACCGAGAGAAGCCGCUAGUCUCUCCUGUGUGACUCCUUCACAAGAACUUAGGCAUCUCAAGCUGACUGACCCCACCUGCUCUACACAAGUUUUUAAAUUUGAUAUCCAAUGCUGAUCGCCAGUUUGCCAUCCAAUGCCCUUGUCAUUAGAGGGUCACAGUCAGGGGUGCCGAGCAGUACACUGGGCCAGAUGGGAUCCGAUAAGGUGCAUCCGGGUAAGAACUAGGAGAAAGUAUGAACCAAUUUUUACAUUCGUGGGCUCCAUAGAUAAGUAUGGUUUCAUAAGCACUUUUGACAAAAGCUAAAAACUGAACUCUUUUUCCAGGUGUACAAUCUAUUGAGUCAUCCCCCAUGGCAAAAUUCCCAGCACAUGAUAGGAGGCUUUGUGCAGCUGGCUUUGGGAAAAGGAAUGUGAUACGGUCCUCUCUCCAAACUAUAGUCUCAUUUUCUUGUAAGAACUGAAUGCUUUUGUAAGGAAAAUGCAUUCAAAUAAUAAACUCACUUCCAUCUAA